GCCCGCCAGCCCCGCUGGCCGCCGCGCACGGAAAUAGCUGUGCCCGGCGAACCACCGCUCCGCAACCGCGCACGGGUUAUUUUUGAACGGCCCCAGCAAGAUAAAACUUGAAUCGGGGGGAGAGUGGCUGAUUUACGGCCGCUUUAAGGGCAGUGUGCUUGGCUGCGGAUGAGCGAAAAGACUUUUCUGCAUGGGCAGGAACAUUUCCCGUGACGGCGCUGCCGGCAGAGAGGGGAUCGGGGAUCUGGCAUCCCACCCGCGCUGCCCUGGCCAUCCCCUGAGUUUGGCAGCGCAUUUUGCCCCACAGCCCACACUCCAUCCCACAGCAGCUGGCCCUGCGAGGCACACAUGGCUCGCCAGCCCUCUUACAAAAGGAGGGGCAGAAAUAUUAAGACUGGUCUGAAGAAUGUAUGGACAGAAAUGUCUAUCAGUAAAAGCAACAGGAAGGGCAAUAGAGCGAAGUUAAGAAAAAACCUGAAACAUUUUGAUAACCAUGGACACAUUGACAACAAACAAACAGCAGCAAGAUACAAAGAUGACUACCAAUGGCAACUGGUGGUGGCAAGCACUGCUUGAGGAGCAUUUCAGAAUCUUUUACACCCUACCAGAAGAGCAAAAGUCUGCCCAGAAGUACAAAGAUUAAAAUGAACUGGGAACUAAUGAAAAACAGUAAUUCAGGUAACUUGGUUUUGGUUUCACUCUAGAUUACUACAAGUCCUGUAAUAAAUCACAAGACAGGUGUAAA